rnacentral:rRNA from 1 species
UUUAUGGAGAGUUUGAUCCUGGCUCAGGAUGAACGCUGGCGGCGUGCCUAACACAUGCAAGUCGAGCGGCAGCGCGAGUAGUUUACUACUUGGCGGCGAGCGGCGGACGGCUGAGUAACGCGUGGGAAUCUGCCCCAAAGUGAGGGAUAACUGCCCGAAAGGGUGGCUAAUACCGCAUAUGAUCUUCGGAUUAAAGGAUUUAUCCGCUUUGGGAGAAGCCCGCGUCGGAUUAGGUAGUUGGUGAGGUAAUGGCUCACCAAGCCGACGAUCCGUAGCUGGUCUGAGAGGAUGACCAGCCAGACUGGAACUGAGACACGGUCCAGACUCCUACGGGAGGCAGCAGUGAGGAAUCUUCCACAAUGGGCGAAAGCCUGAUGGAGCAACGCCGCGUGCAGGAUGAAGGCCUUCGGGUUGUAAACUGCUUUUAUAAGUGAGGAAUAUGACGGUAACUUAUGAAUAAGGAUCGGCUAACUACGUGCCAGCAGCCGCGGUCAUACGUAGGAUCCGAGCGUUAUCCGGAGUGACUGGGCGUAAAGAGUUGCGUAGGCGGUUUGUUAAGCGAAUAGUGAAACCUGGUGGCUCAACCAUACAGACUAUUAUUCGAACUGGCAAACUCGAGAGUGGUAGAGGUCACUGGAAUUUCUUGUGUAGGAGUGAAAUCCGUAGAUAUAAGAAGGAACACCGAUG